UAGGGGAAUCUUCGGCAAUGGACGGAAAACGUCUGACCGAGCAACGCCGCGUGAGUGAAGAAGGUUUUCGGAUCGUAAAACUCUGUUGGUAGAGAAGAACGUUGGUGAGAGUGGAAAAGCUCAUCAAGUGACGGUAACUACCCAGAAAGGGACGGCUAACUACGUGCC
rnacentral:rRNA from 1 species